rnacentral:rRNA from 1 species
UACGGAGGGUGCGAGCGUUGUCCGGAAUCAUUGGGCGUAAAGGGCGCGUAGGUGGCCCGGUCAGUCGAUGGUGAAAGCGCGGGGCUCAACUCCGCGUCGGCCGUCGAUACUGCUGGGCUUGAGCACUGUAGAGGCAGGCGGAAUUCCGGGUGUAGCGGUGGAAUGCGUAGAGAUCCGGAGGAACACCAGCGGCGAAGGCGGCAUCCUGGACUGGUCCUGACACUCAUGAGCGAAAGCGUGGGGAGCGAGUCCGG